rnacentral:rRNA from 1 species
GACGUAGGGGGCGAGCGUUAUUCGGAAUUAUUGGGCGUAAAGCGCUCGUAGGCGGGAUCGAUAGUCCGUGAAGAGAGACCUGGGCUCAACUCAGGGAACGGCACGGAUACUACGAUUCUUGAGGCAAUCAGAGGGUGAUGGAAUUCCCGGUGUAGCGGUGAAAUGCGUAGAUAGUCGGGAGGAACACCAGUGGCGAAGGCGAUCACCUGGGGUUGUUCUGACGCUGAG